rnacentral:tRNA from 1 species
GCCGGAGUGAUGAAAUUGGUAACCAUGCACGACUCAAAAUCGUGUGCUGCAAAGCUUGGGAGUUCGAGUCUCCCCUCCGGCA